UACAUGUUUAACUUGCUCAUUUUGUUGUUUCUAAAUUAGUUCUGUUAGCUGCUAUUUUUUCCCCUUUUUUUUCUUGGCAUUACUACUAGGUAGGGACAGCUAUUUUGCUGCUUCUGCGUCUAUUGAUUUGUUCCUUUAAAACAUUUGACCAGAUAAUUUUUGAUUUUAUCAGGUGGGACUGCGGGAUGUUCAUGCUAAAGUAUGCAGACUUUUACAGUAGAGGUUUGGACCUCUGUUUUGGACAGGAACACAUGGCAUAUUUCAGGAAGAGGACAGCCAAGGAGAUUCUGAGGCUGAGAGCUGAAUGAAUCAAAGCACACGUAUGGGAAUUUUUUAAACCCUCAACAGGUUGUCACAAACUGGAAUUACAGUUUCAUACUGAUAAGCUACGUGAAUGUGGUUCUUGGAUAUGCCUCUGGCCAUCAUUUGGUUCCAGAAGCAGCACUUGAUUGAGGCAUUAAGUGGAGCCUAUGAACAUUAGUUCCAUCUGCAUGCUCCAGUCAGAGUAUACACAAGCAUUUGUAAACCAAUUAGUGGAAACCUUGAUCGGUGAGAAACGGCAAGAUAUGUUUUUGUUUUAGAGUGCUCUCUUGGUUGAGUGCUAUCAUGCCCUUUUUCAUGUCUUUACCCCUUGAGAGCAGGGCCAAUUAUUUGCAUGUUUGUAGUUCUACUUUUUGCCUUUAUUUUUCCUAUGUAGGGCAUCAACUGUCAUAUAACUCAGAUUUGUAUGGAUCAUUGGUUUUUGAUA